CUUAAUUCUUUCUUAGGGAUGCACCUGCGAUCCCACUGCUGGGGAGGCUGAGACAAGAGGCCACCUGAGCUGAGCUAUACAAUGAGACUGUUGUCUGGAAAAUCAAGGAAAACAACACAGAGGCCUGCCAAAGGAUGCAUCUUGCUGGAAGGAGACCAAAUGGGCUCUGUCACGAAGGGCGGGUCUACAGCCUGUGCAGAAGAAGCAGGAAGUUGUGGAGAGGCGUGGCCUCAGAGGGAUCCCCAGGGCUCCCAGGAACAGAGCUGUGGAAGGGCCCUUCCUUGCCCACCAACCGUCUUCCACUUUCUCCAAUCCUGCGGACUGCCUGCCUGCUCUGACUCCACCUGGAGACUGAAAAGACUCAGCCUGGGAAGAUGCUAACUGCUUGGCGUUGCUGUGCUUCACUCUUUUUGUUUGUUUGUUUGUUUGUUUUGGGUUUUUUUUUCUUUGAUUUUCAGAGACAGCUUAUG